AACAUACUCCCUCCGUCCAAAAAAGCUUGUCCCAAGCUUGUCCCUCAAAUGGAUGUAUCUAGCACUAACUUGGUGCUAGAUACAUUCAUUUGAGGGGCAAGCUUUUUCGGACGGAGGGAGUACUGC
rnacentral:pre_miRNA from 1 species